GUACCUUUUUCUGAGUCCCAGGGUUGAAGCUCAGGGAUGGAGCCACCAGCUGCCUCUAGUGACCAUCUCCAGCCCCCUGAAGAUAUCCUGGGUUUGAUUCUCAGCACCCAUGUGGUAAUUCCCAAGUGUCUCUAAUCCCACGGUUCCAGAGGAUCUGAUGGCCUCUUCUGACCUCUGAAGGCAACAAGCAUGCAUGUAGUGUGUGUCUGAGACACACACAGAAUUACGCAUGCACAUAUACAGUCACACAUAUACAUAUGCAUAUACAGUCACAUGGUCUCUCCCUCCCUCCCUCUCUCUGUCUGUCUGUCUGUCUGUCUGUCUCUCUCGCUCGCUCUCUCUCUCUCUCACACACACACACACACACACACUGAGUUCAAGGCUUAGUUUGCAUGUGCCUAACAUAGGAUCAUUAACACUUGCCAUAUUUGCCCAGUACAAGUAAAACAUAUAGACGCUUUGCUUCUAAACUACACAUACCACAUGUCAGCUACCAGACGGAAAGUGUCUG
ensembl:lincRNA Gm9951 predicted gene 9951